rnacentral:tRNA from 1 species
GCCGUGGCUCAGAGGUAAAGCACUUCCUUGGAAUCCAGAAGGUCCCAGGUUCGAUCCUUGGUAUCUCCA